rfam:Brachyspira sp. CAG:700 genomic scaffold, scf210
UAUGCGGAGCGGAUAAACGCGGUAUUUAAGUUAAUAAUAUCGAGGAAAGUCCGAACCUCUAAAGGGCUUCAUGCAAGCUAACGGCUUGAAGACGAAAGUCUAUGGAAAGCGCAACAGAAAAUAUACCGCCCGUUUGGGUAAGGGUGAAAAGGCAUGGUAAGAGCAUACCGCAUUUAUGGCGACAUAGAUGGCAGUGCAAACCCCAUGAGAGGCAAGAGCAAAACGAAACGAUAUAGAUUGCCCUUUUCAAAGUUUCAGGUGGCUCGCUGAAUCAUUAUAGCGAUAUAAUGAUAAGAUAAAUGUUUAUCCAAGACAGAAUUCGGCUUAUAGCUCCGCUAAUUUU